CGGGCAGCGCGCAACCGCUGCCGCGCAUGCGCGCUCCACGCCUGCCCCGCCCCGCCCCCACGCCGACCCGGCCGCGGGGAAAGUACCUGGAUAAUAAUGUAAACCGGGACUGAUGCCUGCGCCUGGCCGCCCGCGGGUUUUGUGCCAAAUAAACUGCUGUUGCACUAGCAGAGACAACGUCCUGGAGAUUGGAGAGGACAGCUUGCUAAGUAAACGUUAUACAGCUUAAAAGUGUUACCUUUGUUGUUCAGUCGCUCAGUCGUCUCCGGCUCCUUGCGACCCAUGGACUUCAGAACGCCAGGCUUCCCUGUUCUUCCCCGUAUCCCAGAGUUUGCUAAAACUCAGUCCAUCGAGUCAGUGAUGCCAUUCAACCAUCUCAUCCUCUGUCCUCGUCUGGCUUGCUUCAAUCUCUCCCAGUGUCAGGGUCUUUUUCAAUGAGUCGGCUCUUCUCAUCAGGUGGCCAAAGUAUUGGAGCUUCAGCAUCAGCCCUUCCAAUGAAUAUUCAGGGUUGAUUUCCUUUAGGAUUGACUUGUUUGAUCUCCUUGCAGUCCAGGGGACUCUCGAGUGUUCUCAAGCACCACAGUUUGAAGGUAUCAGUUCUUCAGCGCUCACAUCAGUACAUGACUACUGGAAAAACCAUAGCUUUGACUAUACAGAUUUUUGUUACCGGUAAAAAGAACAAAUUAUCUGAUAAAAAACAAACAUGCUGAUUAUGAAAAUCAUCUCCCCUUACAGGAAGAUAAUUCAUUAUAGGGAAACUUGUGUUCUUAGAAUAGCUUAUCAUCUUCAGUAGAAAUGUGAUGUGUUAGAAAAAUUUAGCUGUGCUGUCCAACACUGAAAUUUAAACUUUAAUUAAAAUUUAAUGAAAUAGCAAAGAUUCUCUUCUUGAACAAACUCUACUCAAGAGGCUCUGAGCUCUUUUUCAGCUAGGUCUUGAGUUUUGGACUGCCCUGUUUCGCUCUGCAUUGGCAAAUUUUUGCUAGAAUCCUGCUGAGUCAGUUAGCCAGAAGCCCCCAUUCUCAGUAUCUGAUCAUUCUUGUUAGUCAGGUUCCUCAUCUUUGCAUCCGCCGAGUGACAUCUGAUCUCCCUGCCCUGCCUUUACCUAGAAUCCUAUUAGAUCGGCUCACCCAGAACCCCCUGGGCGGCCUCUGUUAAAACCAGCACUACAGGCGCAAAAGGAAGUUGAUGGAAAGCCCCAUGUCACCAAUCUAGAUUUGAUGAUAGUUUUAGCUCUCCCAGAAAUGGGAUUUAAAGGAGUAAAUCAAGAUUCACUAAUCACCACUAGGCAGGUGAUCUGCUAGAUAGACUUCCCUCGACCUUGUAGUAACCAGUUGCUUCUCUGCCUGGAAUUACUCCCUUGUUCCAGCUCCCUUCUGCCUGUAAGUCGUUUAUUUUGGGUAGCUCCUUGGAGCUUCUGUGCAUCUGCCCAAUACAUGAAUCAUUUAAUACAGCCAAUAAAAUCUUUAAAUUUUA